rnacentral:rRNA from 1 species
UACGUAGGGGGCUAGCGUUGUCCGGAAUCAUUGGGCGUAAAGGGCUCGUAGGCGGCCAACUAAGUCGGACGUGAAAUCCCCAGGCUCAACCUGGGAACUGCGUCCGAUACUGGAUGGCUUGAAUUCGGGAGAGGGAUGCGGAAUUCCAGGUGUAGCGGUGAAAUGCGUAGAUAUCUGGAGGAACACCGGUGGCGAAGGCGGCAUCCUGGACCAACACUGACGCUGAGGAGCGAAAGCCAGGGGAGCAAACGGG